rnacentral:rRNA from 1 species
GACGAACGCUGGCGGCGUGCUUAACACAUGCAAGUCGAACGGAAAGGCCUGCUUUCCCUUGUGGAUUGCGGGUACUCGAGUGGCGAACGGGUGAGUAACACGUGAGUGAUCUGCCCCCAACUUGGGUAUAAGCCUGGGAAACUGGGUCUAAUUCCCGAUAGGACUGCAGGGUGGUGCCUGUGGUGGAAAACGAUUUUCUAGUGGUUGGGGAUGAGCUCGCGGCCUAUCAGCUUGUUGGUGGGGUAAUGCCUACCAAGGCGGCGACGGGUAGCCGGCCUGAGAGGGUGGACGGCCACAUUGGGACUGAGAUACGGCCCAGACUCCUACGGGAGGCAGCAAUGGGGAAUAUUGCACAAUGGGCGGGAGCCUGAUGCAGCGACGCCGCGUGGGGGAUGACGGCCUUCGGGUUGUAAACUCCUUUCGACCGCGAGGAAGCCACCUGGUUGGAAGGGUGGUGACGGUAGUGGUAGAAGAAGCACCGGCUAACUACGUG